rnacentral:misc_RNA from 1 species
AACGCACCUUGCGCCCUUUGGCUAUUCCGAAGGGCAUGCCUGUUUGAGUAUCAUGAACACCUCAACUCUCAUGGUUUUUCCAUGACGAGCUUGGACUUUGGGGGUCUUGCUGGCCUGUGGUCGGCUCCUCUUAAAUGAAUCAGCUUGCCAGUGUUUGGUGGCAUCGCAGGUGUGAUAACUAUCUACGCUUGUGGUUCCCCAUCAGGUAACCUUCAGUGAUGGAGGUUCGCUGGAGCUCAUAAAGGUCUCUCCUCAGUGAGGAGGGGGCUUCUUUUGAAUGUUUGAUCUCAAAUCAGGUAGGACUACCCGCUGAACUUAA